AGAGUUUGAUCAUGGCUCAGAACGAACGCUGGCGGCAGGCUUAACACAUGCAAGUCGAGCGCCCCGCAAGGGGAGCGGCAGACGGGUGAGUAACGCGUGGGAAUCUACCCAUCUCUACGGAACAACAGUUGGAAACGACUGCUAAUACCGUAUACGCCCCUUGGGGGAAAGAUUUAUCGGAGAUGGAUGAGCCCGCGUUGGAUUAGCUAGUUGGUGGGGUAAAGGCCUACCAAGGCGACGAUCCAUAGCUGGUCUGAGAGGAUGAUCAGCCACAUUGGGACUGAGACACGGCCCAAACUCCUACGGGAGGCAGCAGUGGGGAAUAUUGGACAAUGGGCGCAAGCCUGAUCCAGCCAUGCCGCGUGAGUGAUGAAGGCCUUAGGGUUGUAAAGCUCUUUCACCGGUGAAGAUAAUGACGGUAACCGGAGAAGAAGCCCCGGCUAACUUCGUGCCAGCAGCCGCGGUAAUACGAAGGGGGCUAGCGUUGUUCGGAAUUACUGGGCGUAAAGCGCACGUAGGCGGAUAUUUAAGUCAGGGGUGAAAUCCCAGAGCUCAACUCUGGAACUGCCUUUGAUACUGGGUAUCUCGAGUAUGGAAGAGGUGAGUGGAAUUCCGAGUGUAGAGGUGAAAUUCGUAGAUAUUCGGAGGAACACCAGUGGCGAAGGCGGCUCACUGGUCCAUUACUGACGCUGAGGUGCGAAAGCGUGGGGAGCAAACAGGAUUAGAUACCCUAGUAGUCC
rnacentral:rRNA from 1 species